GAUGAACGCUGGCGGCGUGCUUAACACAUGCAAGUCGAACGAAGCACUUUUGAGAGCUUGCUCUUGAUUGUGACUUAGUGGCGGACGGGUGAGUAACGCGUGAGUAACCUGCCUUACACAGGGGGAUAACAGUUAGAAAUGACUGCUAAUACCGCAUAAGCGCACGGUACCGCAUGGUACAGUGUGAAAAGUUUUUCGGUGUAAGAUGGACUCGCGUCUGAUUAGCUAGUUGGUGAGGUAACGGCCCACCAAGGCGACGAUCAGUAGCCGACUUGAGAGAGUGAUCGGCCACAUUGGGACUGAGGCACGGCCCAA
rnacentral:rRNA from 1 species